GUCUGAGGGGGAUUUCUCCCCUCAUUUCUGCACUCUGCACUUUCUUAGAGCACGUGAGGCUCUUCAGUCAUGGAUCUCAGCACAUGGAACGUCAGAGUGUUUAAAGAGAUUUAAAACAUUGUGGAGCUCAAGGACAAUGUGAGACGUGAUGUUCUGAACAGCUGGAAACGUGACAAAUCUCACUCAGAGUGCAAACAGAUAAAAAUUGAGACAACCCAUAAUACUGCCCUGGGCAAAAAAGGUGUCACUUCUGCAGAUGUCUGAGAUUAGAGGGAUGGAUCCCCUUCUCAUGGAGUUCCAUAAUGAUAUUCAGUUUGCAAUCACACCUAAGGAUGUGUUCAGCUGGAAGUCUGAGGCUUCCCCACUCCAGUGAAGCCAGUACCUGCUAAAGCAU